GCACGUUCUGCCGUGUUCUGCCGCCCGCAUCCCGCAUCCGCCCCGCAACCCGCAGCCGCCCCGCAGCGGCGGCUUCCAUCCUCCGCCCUCCGCGCUCCUACCAGACGCGGCUUUCAUCCUCCGCACUCCGCGCUCCUGCCAACCGCGGAUUCCAUCCUCCUGCAAUCGCCAACGCGCCCCCCGUGCUCCUGCUAUCCGAGGAAAGCCUUCCAUCCAUGGCGCCUUUACUGCAAUUCCCCCCGUGAUCUGCGCUCCCUCCAUUGCCCCACGACACCGCCAUCCCAGGAAACCCUUCCAUCCAUGGCGCCUCCCCACGAAUCUCUGCUGUCAAUUUUUAUGGAGAAAUCGCGCCUCGCCAGGGUGCCCUUCCAUCCAUGGCGUCGUUGCUGCAAGUGCCCCGCAAUCAACGAUCCCCUUCCACCGACGGCACUCACCUUCCAUCGACAAAACUGCUCUUCCUCCAUUCCACCGACGGCACUCACCCUAAACCCUCACCUCUCAGAUCUCGUGCUCAUCACCAUCCUGCCCCUCGCUCGCCGCCUCACCUUCACUAGAGCCUUAGCUGUCCCUAGAUAAGACACGGAGGUGCAGUGCCAGUGCUUUACUCAAGUGCGCCACGGAUUUUCGGUACCAGCCAAAUUGGGACGAAUUCGACAUUCAGCGGCUCCACCAAAGAUCAAGAAAUUACAGGUGCGUUUAUUGGCUGUUGAAGGUUGUGCUGCUCUUGGUAAAUUGUUGGAGCUCCAAUAUUGUGUAGCGCACAUUUUCCAGUCAUUGUCAAUUUCUCCCAGGCUAGCGAGGGGGUUCGGAAGAAGGAAGGGAGAGGCGCUUGGUUGAUCCGGACCGGACGACAAGACACCGCUAGGUGUUCGUUGCAGCGCAGCGACGGCUUCUGCAGCUUCUCAGGCCAAGAUGGGACUCUGGCAGCACAGUUGGUGAAUUUGAUGGGCACUCAAAGAGGGUUCUAAGCUGUGACUUCAAGCCAACACGUCCAUUUACCAUUGUGAUAGGUGGUGAAGAUAUUCUAGCUAACUUUUAUGAAGGACCACCAUCUAAAUUCAAGCAUUCGAUAAGAUCAGUAGUCAUUGCUGGUUUUCUGACCUAGCUAACAUUGUAUAGCUAGCUCUUUGCCAUAAUUAUUUGUUAUGAUCUUGCUUAUCUUUUGCCAAUGGGCCAAAUAUACACAUCUGAUGUGGAUUACUUUACUGCAUUUAUUAUGUGAAUGAAAACCUUCAUUUACCCUGUAUCAAUGAUGUAGUCAUGUUAACACAGGUGUCAUCUAUCAGAACUUAUCAUGUCCUACAUUUGCUUAUGUAGUGGAUUGAAUCUUAUGAAUGUUUAUGUGUGUAGAUAUCUUGUUAGUUUAUAAGUGCCUCUUUGAGUAUCCAUUACAGUCUGGGUACUGUCUUGGUUUAGGUAGGCCCAAGCAGCUCUUGACAUUUAUCUACAUUAUCAAUUUGAUUAGUCCUAUGCAAUGUUUAUUCAGAUAGUUUUUGGAACAAUCUCUGAGUUCGCUGUAUGGCACUGCAUGUGUAAAUGACAGGUGCGUCUAGGCUCCCACCUCCCAUUCACACAAGUGUGUCAUAUAUGGAUUUCAGGGAUUAUUCCAUGGUGUAGUCAUAAUUUUCAAAAAACAGAAACCCUACACUUGAUGUCAAAAACUAACCUUUCGUUACAGCUGUAGUCAAUUCUAGGUGAAACCACUCCUUGGAUAAAAUAGAUAAGUAGAUUUGGAUAUAUUGAUAUGGUCAUGCUUGGUAUAGAAUUCGUGAGAGGGGGACUCGAGAAGAGGUUUCAUGCCUGAUUCAACAUUGGGUAGUGGAAGCAAAGUUGGUGUGGAUGUGUUUUGUGUAUGUACAUUAAAUGCCCCCUCAAAUUUAGAUUUGUAUUUACGCUUCUUGUGCAUAGUUUGCCAAUAAAUUUCAGCCAACUGCAUGUAUUGCAAACCAUGAGUAGAAGUUUCUUAGAUUUUUUUGUCCUGCUUCAUUGCAACCUGUUCAGUUCUGCUUCAUUGCAACCUGUUCACUGACAAUGUUCUUUUUGUUGUAGCUACGGUGGGUAUGGGACUGGAGGUCGUUGGUGCUGAAAAAACACCAACAGAGGUCAAAUCCCUACUACUAUUAAGCACGUAGUGUAGACUCCUAGCGCUACCACGUCCCUGCCUCCCCCUCCGCGCAUGCGCCCGCCCACCCUGUUCCACGCCCAUCCCCUUUGAUAUGGUCCAAUCAUAAUACAGUCUCUUAUUUCUUUGAUAUAUAUAGAUUUAGGGGUUUGGCUCUACCUCCCGCGCCUGAUCCAGACCGUCCUUUUUUCUCUUCUCUCUUUUUCCUUGAUAAUUAUUUAAUCGAUUUCUAUGUGUUGUUCACGCAAGGAUCAUUGGAGAGGAAUCACAAAGAGGGUCAUCUCAUCCCAGGUUCAUGUAUCUGGUCACCCUGCAUCCAAUUAUUUUUCUUGUUUCUUUAUAUUUUUAUUUUACUUUUUCCUGUUGUUUGGAUUUAAGUUUGUACUGAUGUUGUGCUCCUAAUUUACUGUCAUACUUAAAAAUGCUUGAUUUUUUCUAUUUAGGUUUUUAGGGAGAAUAUGGAGAUAGAAGUCUCGCAUGCAUUGUUAACUAAUUGGUCUCGCAUGCAUUAUUAACGAAUUAGAGAUAUUUACUUUUACCAGCAUUUGUGUUGUGAUAGCUAUUUUUAGCCUAAUGUUUCAGGUCAAAGGGCCAUACUUCAUAGCUAUUUCCCCCUCAAUGUUUCAAGUUAAAUGGCCUAAGAGUAUUGGAGCGCUCUAUGUUACCUGCUAGGCGCCAACUAUUCAAAAUUUACUCUAGGGUAGUAGAUAAUUUUUCUUGUCGAGUUUUAUUUUGGUAUAUGUAACUUUGUAAUUGGGCCUAAGCGUAUUGGAGCACUCUAAGUUAACAGGUGCUUGAAGUUGAUGAUGAAAUUAUACAGCUUGGAUGAAUAAACUUUUGUUGUAGUGACAUAAGGAGUUCCGAAACUGCAAGGAAUUUUAAAUUUGAAUACUUUUCAAUGAGAUGUUGAGGUUGAUAA